GACGAACGCUGGCGGCGUGCUUAACACAUGCAAGUCGAACGGACAGGCCCUGCUUUUGUGGGGUGCUCGAGUGGCGAACGGGUGAGUAACACGUGAGUAACCUGCCCUUGACUUUGGGAUAACUUCAGGAAACUGGGGCUAAUACCGGAUAGGAGCUCCUGCUGCAUGGUGGGGGUUGGAAAGUUUCGGCGGUUGGGGAUGGACUCGCGGCUUAUCAGCUUGUUGGUGGGGUAGUGGCUUACCAAGGCUUUGACGGGUAGCCGGCCUGAGAGGGUGACCGGCCACAUUGGGACUGCGAUACGGCCCAGACUCCUACGGGAGGCAGCAGUGGGGAAUAUUGCACAAUGGGCGGAAGCCUGAUGCAGCAACGCCGCGUGCGGGAUGACGGCCUUCGGGUUGUAAACCGCUUUCGCCUGUGACGAAGCGUGAGUGACGGUAAUGGGUAAAGAAGCACCGGCUAACUACGUG
rnacentral:rRNA from 1 species